rnacentral:pre_miRNA from 1 species
UCAGAACUUCAUGACCUUGGCUCUAGACUGCUUACUGCUUAUGGAGUCCGACAGUACAGUAACAGUCUACAGUCAUGGCUACUGAAGUCUGGC